rnacentral:rRNA from 1 species
UUCGGUCGGGAACUCAAAGGAGACUGCCAGUGAUAAACUGGAGGAAGGUGGGGAUGACGUCAAGUCAUCAUGGCCCUUACGACCAGGGCUACACACGUGCUACAAUGGCGCAUACAAAGAGAAGCGACCUCGCGAGAGCAAGCGGACCUCAUAAAGUGCGUCGUAGUCCGGAUUGGAGUCUGCAACUCGACUCCAUGAAGUCGGAAUCGCUAGUAAUUGUGGAUCAGAAUGCCACGGUGAAUACGUUCCCGGGCCUUGUACACACCGCCCGUCACACCAUGGGAGUGGGUUGCAAAAGAAGUAGGUAGCUUAACCUUCGGGAGGGCGCUUACCACUUUGUGAUUCAUGACUGGGGUGAAGUCGUAACAAGGUAACCGUAGGGGAACCUGCGGUUGGAUCACCUCCUUACCUGAAAGAAGC